GAAUAUUGGACAAUGGGGGGAACCCUGAUCUAGCCAUGGCGCGUGUGUGAAGAAGGCCUUUUGGUUGUAAAGCACUUUAAGCGAGGAGGAGGCUACUCUAGUUAAUACCUAGGGACAGUGGACGUUACUCGCAGACUAAGCACCGGCUAACUCUGUGCGAGCAGCCGCGGUAAUACAGAGGGUGCAAGCGUUAAUCGGAUUUACUGGGCGUAAAGCGCGCGUAGGUGGCCAAUUAAGUCAAAUGUGAAAUCCCCGAGCUUAACUUGGGAAUUGCACUCGAUACUGGUCGGCUAGAGUAUGGGAGAGGAUGGUAGAAUUCCAGGUGUAGCGGUGAAAUGCGUAGAGAUCUGGAGGAAUACCGAUGGCGAAGGCAGCCAUCUGGCCUAAUACUGACACUGAGGUGCGAAAGCAUGGGGAGCAAACA
rnacentral:rRNA from 1 species